UACGGAGGUGGCAAGCGUUGUUCGGAAUUACUGGGCGUAAAGGGCGCGUAGGCGGCAGGGCAAGUCAGGUGUGAAAGCCCCGGGCUCAACUCGGGAACUGCAUCUGAAACUGCUUUGCUUGAGUCCUGGAGGGGGUAGUGGAAUUCCAGGUGUAGCGGUGAAAUGCGUAGAUAUCUGGAGGAACACCGGUGGCGAAGGCGGCAUCCUGGACCGGUAUUGACGCUGAGGCGCGAAAGCUAGGGGAGCAAACGGG
rnacentral:rRNA from 1 species